GUGCUUGUCUCAGCGGCACAAAUACUAAAAUUGGAAUGACACAGAAGAUUAGCAUGGCCCCUGCACAAGGACGGCAUGCAAAUUUGUGAAGCAUUCCAUAUAUAU